rnacentral:rRNA from 1 species
UACGUAGGGUGCAAGCGUUGUCCGGAAUUAUUGGGCGUAAAGAGCUCGUAGGCGGUCUGUCACGUCGGCUGUGAAAACCCGAGGCUCAACCUCGGGCCUGCAGUCGAUACGGGCAAACUAGAGUACUGCAGGGGAGACUGGAAUUCCUGGUGUAGCGGUGAAAUGCGCAGAUAUCAGGAGGAACACCGGUGGCGAAGGCGGGUCUCUGGGCAGUAACUGACGUGGAGGAAGCGAAAAGCGUGGGGGAGCGAACAGG